rnacentral:lncRNA from 1 species
AAGCACUGUCUGUACUGAGACUCAUCUACAGUUUGAAAGUGAACCCUGGUCGGUAUUCAUGGGGGUCAAAACUAUUUUGUUUUUCUUUGUACUUCUGCAUGCAUAUACUGCCACCUUUAACGAGAGCUCUGUAAGCAGCUUUGAACAGACUGAUGAGCCAACUGAUGACGGCGAGUCUUCAACGCAGAUGUCUGAUGAUCUCGGUUCAGGGUCACCAGGUAGAUUUUGCUGUCAUGUUGCUCCUAACCCAAAAGACUGAUACAUUUGUGGAACACAAAAUAAAAAAUACUGUAACCUGAGAGUUAACCUGAGUUUCUGUACCUCCAAUUAAAAUUCCACACCUAACCUACAACAUACAGAAAAUUAAUUCAUAUGGAUUAGUUUUACAAUGCUUUUAUGAGCUUUUUGGAUCUUUUCCGAGUUUUGGUUGUGUGAACUUCUAAUAGAGGGACAGAAAACUCUCAGGUAUCAUUAAAAGAUGAAGAUGAAUAAACAUAUGUUGUUGUUGUUGUUUUACUACGUGAGGGUGAGUAAAUACAGACAGAAUUUUCAUUUUACCCUUUAACACUGAAACUGUGAUAAAGAAAUCUUCUACAUGGUUGUCCACUAGAGGGCACUCCAUCCCAGCUUUAUCCAGGACUUCCUUAAUUCUCCACAAUCCUCUGGGGCAUGUUCAAGUUCAAAACGGUGCGCAACGUUUUGCUACGGUUUCCGGAUUGAACGUCAUGUGACCGGUGUGCAACGGGGUUUGAGAUGCGUUUUCUCUUGUUUGGUGGUUGUGUCAGAACUGCAGUCCAAUCAGCAGCAACAUGUAUAUAAAGCACGCGGUAUUAAAGUGAACUCGCACAAUGGCUUCAAGGAAAAUAAUGUACAAAUGUGUUCGUUGCAGCUCGUUAUACACAACAACUGAGGAUAUUAGAAGAGAUGUUUGUCGUAAGUUUUAUUGUAAAAAUAUAGGAUAUCAACAUAAUGAUGUAUUUGUUUAUAUUUUUAGCUUCAUUGCAAGUGUAUGACAUUUGGUAUAGAAAUAAACAAUGGUAAUUAAGUGUUUUUAAUUUUGAAAGAAAAUACAGGGUAUUAAAAUCGUAUGAACUACAAAUAAAGUCAGUAUGUGAGGCUAAAUAGAUGGCUCCGAAAAUUCUUCACAAAGAACACAAAUAAUGGCCUUUUUUUUUUUUUUUCAAAGAAUGGCCUUCUCAGCUGCAAUAGUUGCAACACUUGCGUCAUCAGAACAGUGUGUUCAACUCAUCACCGUUUCUGUUUAAAAAACGUUGUGCAACGUUUUGUCGGGUGCUGAACACAGCCCUGAUGUCUCAUGAGCACUCAUUGUUUGCACCUGUGUCUCAUUAGCAUGGUUAGCUCACCCUCUAUAAACCCAGUUCUCACUGCCAUUGUUUGCUAAGCAAUAAUUAAAGCAUAUCCUACUAAGGAGUGGCAACAUAAAUGGGAUACAGGAAAUACAGGACGUCAACUUUAUGAAAUACAACAAGAAGUAGGAGUAGUGAGAAUAACUAAACGAAGCACCAAAGAGGAAGAUAUUUUAAA